UCAGCCAUGCGCACCAACCGAACCAGCUCUCCCCACCGAUCCACCUCAAGCCCGUUGGGCCCAGCCAUGCCCAGGAGUAUAUAUUUGCACCCACUCCAUCCUCAACCCUAAUCUCUCCUCCCCCACCUCGGCUUCAGCCGUCGCCAGGAGGCGCAGCUCUCUCCCGUGCUCCUCCCUCUCUCUCUGGCGGGCCCACCGGCGACGGCGCUCCUCCCCGGCCUGGGUCCGGCCGGCGACGACGGUCCACUCCGCUCCUCUCGCGGCCGGAUCGGGCGGUGACAGCUGCGGAUCGGGCGGCAGAGGUGUGGAUCGAGUAGAGCUGCGCGUGCAGGCGGACCGGGGAGGAGGGAGGUGGCUUCACGGCAGGAGCUGCGCGGGCGCUCCACGGCACGCAGGGAAAAGGAGCAGCGGCGUCUGCUGCUGCAGGAGGCGACGACAGCGCUGAUCCGGCAGGAGGCCGGCGAGCGCGCGCGGCGCCAGCCAGAGCAAGCGCAGCGUGGCCCUUGCGAGGCUGCGAAAGAGCGAGGCAACCAGCGGCGCGCAGGGCGCAGCACGCGAGGAGCCGAGGUGGUGCACAGCAUUGCGUGCAUCAAGCUGAGCUGGAGGGGCCGCCGGAGCCACGCGCGUCGGGCCGCUGGAGUCGCAGCUCCUCCUCUGCACCAGACCCACCAGCGCCGCUGCUGUCCCAUGGAGGUGGUAGCUCUCAUGUUCCGUUGCCGCAUUGAUGCUCUCCAAUUGGAGGAGUUGGUUGCUGUGUGCUGUGCGGCAGUGCUUGCCAUGGGAGAGAAGAGGAAUUCCGUGAGGAACAGAGAGAGAGAGAGAGAGAGGAGAAGGAUUCUAUGCUCAAGAAGGACCAGAUGGAUGAUGAAGACGAUGAGGACUAGAUAUAGAUAGAGGUCAACCUUGAGAAGCUCCCUGUAGCACUGGGGACCCCGGUAAGCUCGCCAAGAUGAAGUACCUAGAUCUUUGCUAGGAGAAAGAAGACAUUGAUGGCGAUGCCCAGCACCCACCCCGCGCUCCUCCGCCAAGAUGAUCCGUGCGUGCCUCCGGCACUGAAGUCUAUGACCUGUAUCGUUGCUUUCUAUGACUUGUAUAUAGUAUAAAACUGCCAUAUAUGACCUUCUAUGACCUUCUAUGACCUCUGUAUGACAAUGUGAUUUCUAUGGAUCAAUAAGAUUCGAAAGUUCAAAUUUUAUGUCAUGCUACCGUGAUUUCUAUGAGCCAAUUAGAUGCGUGUAUACACAAAUUUUAUGCAGAAGGACGUCUGAUUAUAGAUAGUCCAAACAUUCUAUAACCCAUAUCGCUGGCUUAUAUGAUCCCUGUAUGACAGUGUUAUAGAUAGUCUGAACUUUCUAUGACCCAUAUCACUGUAUUCUAUGACAUGUAUUAUGGUACAAAUUGCCAUCUAUGACUUUCUAUGAUA